AUUGAACGCUGGCGGCAUGCUUUACACAUGCAAGUCGAACGGGGUGGAGGGGCAACCCUUCAUUCAGUGGCGAACGGGUGAGUAAUACAUCGGAACGUACCCCGUAGUGGGGGAUAACUCGGCGAAAGCCGUGCUAAUACCGCAUAUGCUCUACGGAGGAAAGCCGGGGAUCCGCAAGGACCUGGUGCUAUGGGAGCGGCCGAUGUCCGAUUAGCUAGUUGGUGGGGUAAUGGCCUACCAAGGCGACGAUCGGUAGCUGGUCUGAGAGGAUGAUCAG
rnacentral:rRNA from 1 species